AACAAGACGAGAUCGUUCCAUUAUCAUAGGGUUUCAGUUUUGGCUUUGCUAUUGCCUCCUUCCUGCUCCUUUGUCAUCUUCGUUUUGGUGCAAUGGCAGAAACAGAAGACCUACCAGAAGAGAUUAUAGUGAAUAUCUUUACUUGGUUGCCCGUCAAGUCCUUGAUCCGAUUCACCUCCGUUUCGAAACGCUUGCACUCCAUUAUAUUGUCCGAUCCCAAAUUCGCCCAAUCCCAAUUCGAUGCAGCUCGGCAGCAGAAGACCCUCAAUCGCAGACUCCUCGUCUCCACCGACGCCCCUCGACUCGAGCUCGACUCCCUAGACUUGGAUACUCCGUCGUUUGGAGAGCCUUCCUCCGUUAGAAAGCUCAGCUUCCCUUUCCCGCCACGACCGGGCGGUUGUGUCAAGCUGCUGGGCUCCUGCAAUGGUCUGGUAUUUGUGGCUGUUGAUGAGAAAUUGUUUUAUAUCUGGAACCCAUCUAUUGGAUUCUUGAAGCAAUUACCUGAUCCAGGUUUUCCCUUAGCUGAAAAUGUGAUACUCUUUUAUGGUGUUGGCUAUUUGUCCGCCACCCAUGAUUACAAAGUUUUGGUUGCCUCCUAUGACUUUCGUGAAGAGGAGAUAGAGGUCGAGAUGUUCUCAUUGAGAACUCACAUUUGGCUGAAGAUUGAAACCCCUUGCCUAAACAUCCCUUUUCUACUCGAUCUUCGGGGAACUCUUUCGAAUGAUGCACUUCAUUGGCUAAACUACGUCGAUGACAACAAGGAUGAAAUAGUUUCUUUUGACUUGGAAGACGGGGUGUUCCGGAGAAUGCCACCGCCUAAUUUCGAGCAUGAUGGUAAGACUUUCAGCAAGCUCGGGGUUUGUGGAGGGUGCCUGUGUGUAUCGCGUUAUCCGGAUGGGCCUUUUGACUCUAUUGAUUUCUGGGUCAUGAGAGAAUAUGCCGUCAGUGGCUCAUGGAUUAUGCUCUUUACCUUAAAGCUCUCCCAUCCGCCUGAGUUGCCCUCGCGUUUCGGCCAAAUCUUGGUUCUGGAAAGUAGUACAGUUGCCGCGAGAUGGACUGACGGGGGAUCCAAGUUGAUAAAGAUUGAUCAUAAAGAAGACGAGAAGCUUGGGCGGUAUAUGCUUAAGGGGGUUCGCGUGUGUAUGAUUGAAUAUGAAGAGAGUCUACUUUGGAUUGGUAGUUAUCAUCCAGUUGAAAAGAAAGAGCAGGUCCAGAUAUUCGAAACCCAUCAGAAGGCCUCAGGAAGCUGAAAUGGAAGGAAUCUUUGCUCUUUGUUCAAAUGAGAGAUGGGGUUUCCGGAUGUACGAAUUGAUGGCUUCAUUCUAGUAGUGGUGUGGACCUGUGAAAAGGAUGCACUUUUAGUGAUUAUGAGAUUUCUCAAAAUUUCAGUUUUAGGAUCCUUAGCAGCUACCUAAUAUAUCUAUGUUCAGUGGCUGAGACUCUGACAGAUUCGCUCUUUGUUUUAAGUUUCGACAAGGUGUUUACCAAUAUUGACAUGGUUCAAUGUUUCGAUAUGGAGAGAGUACUCGAGCCAUAACACGAUGCCACAGACCAACCUGAAAUCAAUGGUUGCUCUGUACGGUCAAGUUCUAGUUGCUUGUUUCAUACGUUUUGAAUCUGUUAGCUGAAGGAAAGAUGAAACUGACAUUCAAUUACACUAUUGUUAGGUUUACUAUAGCUUUGUAUGUUAAGGAGAAUCACAAGAUCGUCAACGACUGAGGACCAACUUGAUAAAAAAGAAGAGCAUUCGCUGCGGAGAAUGGAAGAGUCUUCCCAAAUGAUAGAAUUUAGAGUUAGAAAGAAACAUGGGCAAAAUAAUUCAUCAACUAUAUAUCUUGAAACAUAUACUUGACUCUCUUAAAUUGCACCCACAAUGUCCAUCACUUGGAAUAAUUAAAAUAAUCUAAAGUUGAGGACUUGAGGCUAAAUAUCUUGAGGGAUCAAAUCUAGGCUGUCUAUUUAGUUAAUCAUAUUUCACUUCCUAAAACCUACACAGUUAUCGACCUAAACUACAACGAUAACUAUCUUGGCUUGCCGAGGAUGGUCAGCUACUCCAAAGCAGAAAGCAUUAAGUUUGUCAAGGUAUGUAAAGUUGAGUGGGUGGAAGGAAAGAAACUAAGGCUUAGUUUGGGAUUGCUUUUAAAACUGCUUUUGAGCCCAAAAGCACUUCCUGAAAUUUUCUGAGCUGUUUGGUAAACCAUCCAAAGUCUGCUUUUGGUUGAAAGCGCUUUUCAAAACAGUGGAAACAGAGAAGCUACAAAUAGCAGCAUUGGAAUUCUGCUUCCGCGGGAAUCAACUAAAGGACGCGGAGACUUAAUGAAAUUCAAUAAACUCCCAAAAUUGUCCUCAUUCUUUUAUGAGUUUUACACUAACAUAUCUUUUGUUCUGUCGAACUCACUGCACUCUUCCUUCGCAAAAAUCCUUUCCUUCUCUCUGUGAUUGUCUCACCGAUUCUUCUCUCCCCUUACCAAUGGGUGACACCGUUCGGGAUUCUGAUCGAUCUGGAUUCUAGUGAUUUACUGCUCAAUCUGACUCAAAAAAUUCGAUCUUACUUGCAACUAUCGGCGGAUCACCAUGUGGGUUGUACGCCUUUCAUCCUCCAGAUCCAGGUUUCACACAAAUCUCUCGAAUUUCGAUUGACCAAUAACCAGUGGGCAUGGGAAAUUGGGCAAUGCAAUUACCUCUUUACCUUAACCAAAGUUUUAUAUGAUCAUUUGGGAAACUGUAUAAUGUCCUGAAACUUUAGUAAGGAUGCUUGGAAAAGUUGUGUUCGUGCUGUUCUUGAUCAUUACCUCAACAGCUGCCAUAGGUGGAGGUGGAGGGGGAGGACGUGGCAGAGGUGGAGGUGGAGGAAGUGGAGGUGGUGGAGGGCGUGUAAGUGGCGAUGUAGGAUCGAGGUGGAGGUGGACGUGGACUUGGAGGCACUCUUGGUUCAGCAGCAACUGUGAUUUGUUACAUGACCUUGCAAUACUUGCUGUGAUCAAAUCCCCUUGGUUCAGCAAUCGCUGUGAUCAAAUCUCCAACUUACAGUUACUUGAACGUUUCGAUCUCUGUCUUAAAAAUAAGUAGUAACUCUAUCUAGUUGUAGAUUUCAACACCUUGAGAUGUUGUAGAUUUCAACAAUGUUGUCUAGCUAAUUCAGUUGUCUUUCAAUAUUUCUAUUCGGGGUAAUUUUAGUUAACAACACAUUUUUUAAUCUCAUAUAUAUUUAAGUUACAGACAAUAUAUAUACACACACGGGGAGAUGUAAUUCAUAAUUCAACAAGUUGAACUAUGGAAGUCUGGACCUAAAUAAGUGAAAUCUGUUUUGACAUAAUAGGCAAUCAGAAUACCUGCGUUUGGACCAUUUUGUGUGGUAAAAGGAAGAUAUGUAAGUUAUAUUUUGUGUGUUUAUGAUAAACUGGAAUGUGAUGCCUGGUUUUUUUCUCCAUUUUCAUGUCAAAAAUAUGAAUUCAUUAAUUAGUGUCAGAAAUGAUUCAUUCACUCACCUACUAUGUGCAGAAAUCAAAAUAUGCAGAGGUAUCUCAUGGAGAUGUAUUUGUUCAAUAACAGGGUUUUUUAAUGGAGAUGUUGAUCUGUACUCUCCAGCAUCAUUAAGAAGAGCUGAAAGAGCAAGAUAUUGAUGACAUUAGGCAACCUUCAUUGUUUUCUUGAAUAAUUUAUCGUUUCAUGAUGUUGUUACUUGAGAACUUGGGGUGGAAGAGUCUUGAUGUUUAAAUCUUGCUUUGCUUAGUUUAGCUUCUUUGAUAUCUAAUGAAGUAAACAUGUAUGACCUUAACUAGCUAGUAAAGUAUCUUGUCAGAAACUGCCGAUUGAUGACAA